rnacentral:rRNA from 1 species
AUUGAACGCUGGCGGCAGGCUUAACACAUGCAAGUCGAGCGGAGACUUCGGUCUUAGCGGCGAACGGGUGAGUAAUACCUAGGAAUCUGCCUAUUAGUGGGGGAUAACGAAUCGAAAGGUUCGCUAAUACCGCAUACGUCCUACGGGAGAAAGGGGGGGAUCUUCGGACCUCUCGCUAAUAGAUGAGCCUAGGCCGGAUUAGCUAGUUGGUAGGGUAAAGGCCUACCAAGGCGACGAUCUGUAGCUGGUCUGAGAGGAUGGCCAGCCACACUGGAACUGAGACACGGUCCGGACUCCUACGGGAGGCAGCAGUGGGGAAUAUUGGACAAUGGGGGCAACCCUGAUCCAGCCAUGCCGCGUGUGUGAAGAAGGCCUCGGUUGUAAGACACUUAAGUACGAGGAGGAAGGUUUAGUUUAAGUUACUACUAAAGAAUUAGUACGUUAC